GGAGAUGCAGCUCAGUGGUAGAGCACAUGCUUUGUGUGGAGAGGGUCCCCGUUUCAAACCCUGACAUCUCCA